rnacentral:tRNA from 1 species
UAGUGGUUAGCUAAAAGGGGAAGGCGUUAAGUUUUGAUCUUAAUAAUUGCAGGUUCGAUUCCUGCACGACUAG